rnacentral:rRNA from 1 species
AACGAACGCUGGCGGCAUGCCUAACACAUGCAAGUCGAACGAGAUCUUCGGGUCUAGUGGCGCACGGGUGCGUAACGCGUGGGAAUCUGCCCUUUGGUUCGGAAUAACAGUUGGAAACGACUGCUAAUACCGGAUGAUGACGAAAGUCCAAAGAUUUAUCGCCAGUGGAUGAGCCCGCGUAGGAUUAGCUAGUUGGUGUGGUAAAGGCGCACCAAGGCGACGAUCCUUAGCUGGUCUGAGAGGAUGAUCAGCCACACUGGACUGAGACACGGCCCAGACUCCUACGGGAGGCAGCAGUGGGGAAUAUUGGACAAUGGGCGAAAGCCUGAUCCAGCAAUGCCGCGUGAGUGAUGAAGGCCUUAGGGUUGUAAAGCUCUUUUACCCGGGAUGAUAAUGACAGUACCGGGAGAAUAAGCUCCGGCUAACUCCGUGCCAGCAGCCGCGGUAA